AGAGGAAGAACACGGCGCUCACUCUCCGCACACAGUUGUCGGCUUCUGUUUCUGUGAGCCGUGCUGUAAGCUGAGGCUUCUGGACUCUUCCUACCAGAAUUGAAAAGCCAUGUUCCUGGAGUAAGUCUAAGAAACAAAACCGCUUCUGUCUGCUUCGUCAGCUAAAGUAACACAGCCAGUCCUCUUGCGAGUGAACGCGGGCUCCAGGGAAGCGUGGAGACGUGGAUUGCCAUGGUGGGAGUCAAACAUUUCAGGGAUGUCGAUUCUCACUGGACACACACAGUAACCGUGACCCUCCCCUUGAUGAGAAAGAUCUCUUCCCAUGACCUGCCAUCGUCCCGAUUACCAAAAUGAAAUAGAAUAAAAUCACAG